rnacentral:rRNA from 1 species
UGGGGAAUUUUGGACAAUGGGCGCAAGCCUGAUCCAGCCAUGCGGCGUGUCUGAAGAAGGCCUUCGGGUUGUAAAGGACUUUUGUCAGGGAAGAAAAGGCUGUUGCUAAUACCGACAGUUGAUGACGGUACCUGAAGAAUAAGCACCGGCUAACUACGUGCCAGCAGCCGCGGUAAUACGUAGGGUGCGAGCGUUAAUCGGAAUUACUGGGCGUAAAGCUAGCGCAGACGGUUACUUAAGCAGGAUGUGAAAUCCCCGGGCUCAACCUGGGAACUGCGUUCUGAACUGGGUGACUAGAGUGUGUCAGAGGGAGGUAGAAUUCCACGUGUAGCAGUGAAAUGCGUAGAGAUGUGGAGGAAUACCGAUGGCGAAGGCAGCCUCCUGGGAUAACACUGACGUUCAUGCUCGAAAGCGUGGGUAGCAAACAGGAUUAGAUACCCUGGUAGUCCACGCCCUAAACGAUGUCAAUUAGCUGUUGGGCAACUUGAUUGCUUAGUAGCGUAGCUAACGCGUGAAAUUGACCGCCUGGGGAGUACGGUCGCAAGAUUA